AAUAACCUUUCCUUCCUUCAUUUUGGGUGUCAGGUAUUUUGUUCCAGCAAUGAGAGAAAAGUAACCAAGACAACUGAUUAUGAAAAAGCCAAGUCUCCACCCUCCUGUGGAGCUGCUGCUGGAGCAGCUGCUGUGGUUUCUCCCAGGGAGAGAUGGAGCUGCCCUCUCCCAGCCUCAGCUGCCAAGUCACAGAGCGUGCAUCGGAGCAGGGACAUGUGGGGCCAUCUCUGAUGGCCGUGUUCCGUGUUCCAGGACUUCUUCACACCCUGCAUCCCAGCAAGCAAGGGUCAGUUGUUCCUAGCAGAUGCGUGGCCUCCGAGGUCAGGGGCUCCUUCUCCACUCCCUGCUCUUUCUUCAGUAAG
rnacentral:lncRNA from 1 species